AGAACGAACGCUGGCGGCAGGCUUAACACAUGCAAGUCGAACGCUCGUAGCAAUACGGGAGUGGCAGACGGGUGAGUAACGCGUGGGAACAUACCCUCCGGUUCGGAAUAGCUCAGGGAAACUUGGAUUAAUACCGGAUACGGCUGAGAGGCGAAAGAUUUAUCGCCGGAGGAUUGGCCCGCGUUCGAUUAGCUAGUUGGUGAGGUAACGGCUCACCAAGGCGAUGAUCGAUAGCUGGUCUGAGAGGAUGAUCAGCCACAUUGGGACUGAGACACGGCCCAAACUCCUACGGGAGGCAGCAGUGGGGAAUAUUGGACAAUGGGCGCAAGCCUGAUCCAGCCAUGCCGCGUGAGUGAUGACGGCCUUAGGGUUGUAAAGCUCUUUCGCCCGCGACGAUGAUGACGGUAGCGGGAGAAGAGCCCGGCUAACUUCGUGCCAGCAGCCGC
rnacentral:rRNA from 1 species